AAGGAUGAUUUAAUUUUCUGUGUUCUGCUCUUAAUGUGGAGAUACCCAGUUACGAUAGAAGGUGUUGUGCUGUGAUGUGAUAUCUUAGCAGUGCGCGGCAGCAGUCUGGUAAAACUAGAUUUUUAUGGUGCUCUUGAAUUCAAAAAUAGCACCCACCAAUCUUUUUCUGAUAUCUUGUGCUUAGUUACUGAAAUUCACAAAGCUUCUGGAACAGAACGAUAAAACAGAAGCCAAUUCUAUGGGUAUGUAAUGCCUCAGUGUCUUCUCUGCUGCCUUUCUGCCUACAUUGAGUCACUGUAUACAAUGACCUGGACCAAUGAGUUCUUCAGCCAUUAUUGAUGUGUGCCGUCUCUUUCUCUUUCUCUAUAGCAACAGAGUAACAGAUGAGUCUUUUGUAUGAUCAUAUAUGGCUCAAGCCCAGGCAAGGGGAUGCUCCUCCUAUUUUAAAGAUUCAUAAGAGAACCAAGCUGCACUUCAUCAGUCUCCACAGAGUUUGCUGCUAUGCUGAAAGAAAACUUUCCCUCCAACCUGAUUGUUUUGGAAGUUUGUUAAAACUGAAGAUUUCUGAGGCUAAAAAUUGUGCCACAUGUGAUUCAUGAAAAACAUUAAAGUUUCAACUAAUGACACUGUGUCGCCUUAUUUAUUUCCAAGAAAAAAAGAGAUCAAAAUUGGGGAGGGGGCUAAAGAAGCUGGCUAGAUAGCUCAGUGAGUUAGGCAUCUGACUGCAGAGCUAAAGCU
rnacentral:lncRNA from 1 species